CUGAUUGUAGCAAUGGGGGGGGAGGGAUAGCUCAGUGGUUUGAGCAUUGGUCUGCUAAACCCAGGGUUGUGAGUUCAAUCCUUGAGGGGGCCGUUUAGGAUCUGGGGCAAAAAUUGGGGAUUGGUCCUGCUUUGAGCAGGGGAUUGGACUAGAUGACCUCCUGAGGUCCCUUCCAACCUUGAUAUUCUAUGAUCUAUGUGUCUAUUUAUUUGCAGAGAUGGACCAGUGUCAAACCCCCUUCUCUGUACCAGUUAGAUAUCAAAGAAAGGCCGGGAGGGGUCAUUCUCCUGCGUCCCAUAAAGGGAAGGAGAGGGCUGGAGGAGAACAAAGACCCAUGAGGGGCAGCUCUUCACCUCCGGACGGAGGUCGGGCCCCAGCUCCUGCUGAGCAGGCUAGCCCACUCCAGGACCUGCCUGCUACCCUGGAAAGUGGCAGAGGCAUUCGGCACCUAGCAGUGCCGUCCACACCAGAGGCCUUUCAGGCAGCAAAGGAUGUUCUGUCCCUACCAGUGCUGCUCAUACUGGCCAUGCAUGUGCCUCACUCUAGGCGAAAACCUGCCUUGGAACCCUUCCAAUGGUCCCCAUCAAGGCGGAUCAUCACCUGCAUCCGGACCUGCUGCCACCUAUAGUGAAGGCCCACUUAACUAGGCCUCAAACAUCCUCGGUGGCAUUCUUGGCACAUGUCCCUAUCUAGGACAUCUGCAGGGCCGCGACGUGGUCUUCAGUACACACAUUCACGACGCACUACGCCAUCACCCAGCAAGCAAGAGAUGACGCUGUGUUUGGCAGAGCUGUGUUGCAAUCGACACAUCCACGAACUCCUACCCGCCUCAGAUGGUACAGCUUGGGAGUCACCCACAAUGGAAUGGACAUGAGCAAGCACUCAAAGAAGAAAAGACAGUUACCUUUUUUUGUAACUGGUGUUCUUCGAGAUGUGUUGCUCGCAUCCAUUCCAUGACCCGCCCUCCUUCCCCACUGUCGGAAUUUCCAGCAAGAAGGAACUGAGGAUGGGGGGAACCGGCAGCGCCCCUUGUACCGUGGUAUACACCCAUCACUCCAGAGGGUGCCAGAGCCAGUCCCCUACGGAUACCAAUGAGGGAAAAACUUUCAGCACCGGUGCAUGUGGCGAGCACACACACCUACAAUGGAAUGGACAGGAGCAACACAUCUCGAAGAACACCAGUUACGAAAAAAAGGUAACUCUUUUUCUGCUCCGCUGUAACAUAUUCUUCCCCCCCGCCCUUUAUCAGUGCUUGCUUGGAAUUACUAAGGUAUCUAGUGCCUAAGCAGACACACUGUAUCGAGUGGGCAGUGUUUCUGUGGAACCCUAUUAGUUGUAAAUAUUAAUUGCUAGCUAAACCUAAUUCUUAAUGUCUGGCUAUGGUGUGUGUGUGCGUGUAUGCGCGAGGUGUUCCCUUAUUCAGUUAAUUAUUUAAAUGGCAUGGUUUUUAAUCAUAUUGGGAAAGUUUUAAGUAUUUCUUUUAACUGGCGGUGGCGGGUGGGUUGUUUCUGGAUAUUUGGUGCUCAGGACCCGGAGAAUUUUUAAUCCAUCCCUGCACUGAUUGAGUUAGCAUGCUAACAAUAGAAGUGUAGCCACGGUGGCCCAGAGUGGUGGGAGCUGUUAGCUGUCCUGAGUAUGGUUCUGUCUGGGACCACAGUUACACACUGGGACAACUAUUCCUCCUGCUGCUUGGGCUGCCACUGCUACACUCCACUUCUGAUGUCUUCGCUCAAUCAGAGCAAGCAAGGGCAUAUCUCCUUGAGCUGGAAACUACACCUCCCGCUCCGGUGUAGCCAUAACCUACACAGAACUUGCAGUCCUGGAGAGGGUCUGUCUAAGGUACAACACCCUCCCUGGACAGCCCUAUGGGAUGCUGAGCUUCCUAGAAUCUCCACAGUUGCUGCACGCACACAUCCCUGUCCUGACAUACCCCUCCCACCCUCCGCCUCACCCCCCGAAGGACUGUCUUCCAUAGAGCCUUCACCAAGGGAAUACUCUUCCUGUCGAAUAUGGGGCUUUGAGAUCCUUUAUGCUGUUCCAGACGUUUUACCUGAUAUCAAGGGGCAAGAACGGGGAUAAGAUUUCCUUGCCAGGUCUCCAGAUGCGAAGGUCUAAGCAUUCUGCCACCUAGGCCUUUAGCUAUUACCAUUAACUUUAAAUUGGGCUUCUCUGAGAUGUUCAGAGGCAAGGAGCUAACUGCAAACCCCAAGGCUGGCUCUCUGAAACAUUUCUCUCAUCUUCCCCAGAACACAGACUCUCACAGCUCUUCACUGGUGUCUCCAAAGAGAUUAAAUCACACUAAAAAAAAUUAAACCGAUUGACUCUUUCACAGCUAUGCACAUAGAAACCUCCCUGUGAAUGUAUAGUAACUAAGAGACCUUUUGAAUUAUAAAUAACCAUGUCUGAGAUCAAAUGGGGGUCAGGGGCUUGCUGGAUAAUGGACAAGCUCCACUGCAAACUAUGCUACUAAAUGUCAAUCCAGAGAUGCUAUAAAUCCAACUAAAAAUAGUUCUGAUGGUUUUAUGUUUGAACACACAAGCUCCGAGCUCCACACAUAAGAAAAGAAUAAACAGUGUGGGUGGCAUAAUUGUUACUUUUUUUUAUAUCCCAAACAUAUGCUUUUAGCAAUCAGGAUCUCAUAAAUUCUAGCUCUCUGCUUGUCAGUAUUACUUUGGCUUCCCAACAAGGGCCUUUCUACUGCAUUGGCCUCACGCCAGAGCUAUCAUCUUGCCUCCACUGAUGUCUGCAGGUCUUAGGGUCCAAUAAAAAUACUAAUUUAAAAAUAUAGCGAUAUGAAUGAAAUACAGGGCUUCACACGUAGAAAUAAUGAAGUGAGGUCGCUUAGUUUCAGAAUUGCCCUUUUAAUUAUGAUCUCCUUCCCCUCGUUUAUGCCCUCUGCCUCAAGCUGGGAGCAAUACUCUCAUUCAGUCCCAAAAUCCUAGGCAUGUGCAGUCUAUGCUGCAAUAGUCUCCCCUUGAUGAUCAGACACUAAAGGUUGAAUGGGUCUGUCUGGGGGACAAGACUGAGAGCCCCAGAAAGCUACAGGAGCCACUUGGCAAGAUGAUCUGCUUGCACGGACAUCUUCAGAACUCUGAGUCUUGUUCCACUUCACACGCCCUCCUGUAGCAGGACACUGACCUGCUGCAAAGGCCCAAAUCCAACCCUCUCUUGUGUAAGAGAGUGAAACUGCUAUGCAAUUAGAACACUUUGGGGGAAAUGAGUCUAGAACACCAUGUUAGUGCACUUUCGUUGGGGACAGGGGAAGUAUUAUCAUUUUUCCUUCUUGUUUAUGCCUCCAAUCUCUAAUUCUUGGUCUCUCUAGCACAUACAGAGCUACCAUCUGCCAAAGCCUCUCAGUGACAGUCUCCUGUAGGCUAGGAUUUGAUGUCUUCUGAACCCAUAUGGAGACCAUCAUCUCCUCCUGUAUGACCUCCAACCUUUCCCUACUCAGGCCUCAAAUCACCAGGAGUAUUGCCAGCCUCAGAACAGGAGAACUUAGCAUAGCUCCCUUUGGAGUUGAUUUACUGUGCCCAAUCAGCCAGCAGAUAGAUAUCACUUGAUGUGCGUGAGGUUUCCCUUCUGGGGGCAGAGUGCACUCCUAUAGUUUUAUAAAAGAUGCUUGUCCUGUACCAUAAAUUACAAGUGUGCCUAUCUGCAGUGAGUCAAUGGUAGAUUAUGAUUAUAAAAUGUCAUUGGUGUCAAGGAAGCUUGGGGAAAAAUCAGGUACCCACAUUUUGUUGAGUGUAUCUUCAGUAACUUCAGUGGAAUUACAUCAGGGAUAAAUUUGAAUGAUUCCUCUGAAGAAAAAAAUAAAGUCAGAAUUUUAUAAUAUAGUGCAGUAAGGUGGCAAACACGAAAGCUAAUAUUCCAAUUUACAGUAUAACACUGUUCAACUAUUCAUAACCAUCUCCAAAAAAAAUCUCAUUUCCAGCCAAAAUUUGUAAUACUUCUCCAGCACAGAGAUUAAUCUUUUCUGCAAUUUGGAAUAGAAUUCAAAAUUAAGAUAUGUUAAAGUUAAGCCAGGAAGGGCAAAAUAUUUCUAUUUAUUUAGAUUGCAAGCUCCUUGAGACAGAAACCUUUUGUUUGUACUUGCCUAGCAUGGUCUAUAAAAAUAAUUUAUGCCUUCUUGUGCACGUCACUCAAACUGCUCAACUUUAAUGGCUAGGGGAUUAAAAUUGCACACAUGAAAAAAUGGGUGAAUAUUUUAUAUUAAAACCCUACUCUAAAAGUUCAUGUGUGUCUAGUCCUCACUGAGGAGCAGUCAUUUGGUAAUGUUGGUGUUUACAAAAUAAAUAAAAUUUGGCUUUUAUGCAUGAGCAGUUAAAAUGCUUCAUCACCAUUGUUUUUAGCUGGAUUAUUGCCAGCGGCGCUAGUUGUGAAAUGAAGUCUUUUGUUUUUUUUCCUCCCCUACAGUGUGAACUUCAAAACCUAUAGCAUUGUGCACAGAUCGAAACAGUGUGACCCAAGAGUCCCAAAGACUGGGUGUUUUGAGUCCUGCAGUUCAUAGUAUCCUAGAAAUAUAGGGCUGGGAGGGACCCCGAGGUCAUCUAGUUGAUCCCUCAGUGCUGAGGUAUGGAGUGGUACAGUUCUGCUUUGUACAUUUCCCUUUUUCUUUUAUUUCCUUUUAAGGCAAUGAAUUGCAAAAGCCAGUUAAUUUUAAAUUUUAUUAUUGUUUAACUAUUAUUUAAUUUUAAAUUUUUAAAAAUUUCAGGUAAUAAGAACGAGUGUUACUUAAGAAAUUUAACUCAUUCACAUUAAACACAAACACAUAGUAUUUUGGAUUACUUGCUUUGCUGAUAUGUGGACACUUUAAUGUACAGCAUAUACAAUGUGGGUGAGUGUGUGUGCAUAUAUAUAUAUAUAUAUAAAUACAUACACACACACACACCCAAGCAACCUGAGUUUGGGCCCCUUGUGCAUAUGCAUUGUGAUACAGUCUAUAAUUAUAUGAUUGCAUACUAUUUCUUUCUACAGGACCCUUUCCUCGUUCAGUGUGCUGGAUCGAUGGCGCUCCAUUGAUUAGGCUAAUGGUUUGGUGGAUGGGGGAAUACAGUGGACAUAAUAUACCUGGACUUCAGCAAGGCUUUUGGCACAGUCCCACUGUGACAUUUUCAUAAUAUCUGCCACUCUGGCGGUUCCUUCUCCACAUCAGUGGAAUAUCUAAGACAGAUAAGGAGGAGAAAGAAGAGGACUUGGGAUUACAUAUUCAGUGAGAUCCUGUAAGCCAGUGCUGCAUCGGAGUGUGAGCAGAGGAUCUGGAGUGUUGAUAUUUCAGACUGGGUAGAAGAAAAGAGCCGAUAGGAGACAGAUCCAGGAAUCCCAGCAGGAAAAGAGGAGCGUGAGUAAAUAGUACCAUCACCCCUUCAAUCGAUCAAAACCACAUUCAACUUCAUUCUGCACCUGCUGAGCUGGUAGUUGAAUCUUUCUUUGGUGCUGUCAAGGUGGCUGGUGUGCAGCUUUGUGAGCGGGGGGGAAAGGGAUAGGAGGGGUCCCCCAGGGUCACUGUUGGCAUUUCAACAUUGCCAAUAGUAAUCUGCCGGUCGGGAAAGCAAGUCCCUGCUUGCAGCUUUCAGAACACUGCUGUGUUCUUAAAGAUUACAGGUGUCCUGCACCUUCCCUGACCAACCAACGCUGUUGGUGAAGCAUCACCAGUAAUCCACCAACACUUGCAUAACCAUAGAAAAGUAGCCCUUUCCGUUGAUAUACUCCAGGGCAACAUGGGCUGAUGCCAAUAUAGGGUAUUCAUGCUGUCUAUCACUUCACUGCAGAUCAGAAAUCCCGUUGCUGCAAAUCCAUCCACUAUGUCCUGCAUGUGGCCAGGAGUCAGUCCUGUGUAGCAAGAGACGAUUAAUGGCUCUGCACACUUGCAUGACAAUGCCCCCCCAACCCUCCAGUGGAUUUGCCAACUCUGAAAUGUUUUCCCAUUGACGGGUAGCAAUCUGGCAUUGCAAGUUUCCACAGUUUGAUCACCACUUGCUUCUCUACUGUCAGUGCAGCUCUCAUUCUGGUGUCCCCUAUUCUGGAUGGCUGGGGUGAGCUUGGCAAAUACAGGAUUGUGGCCUGUCACAUCCAAAAAUUCUACAGUCGCUGCUCUUUGUCCCAAACCUUUAUUACGAUGCGAGCCCUCCAGUCAGUGCUUGUUUCGUGGUCGCAGAAGCAGCACUCCCCCUUCUGUAGCUGCUCCUGCUACCAACACCCUUGAAUUGUUUUUUUACAAUAUCGCACAGCAAUCUGUUCUCCACAAAAUUGACACGUUCCUUGCAGAUGCAGUCAUUCUUGGGGCACUGCAAAUACCAGUGGAUCAUUCACCCUGUGCUUGCAACACUCAUGUCAAUAGUGCAGAGCUCUGCAGGGUCCAUACUUCUGACAGAGAUGUUUCUGACAGGACCAUAAAAAGGGCUGUGCUGGUUCCUGGGACUUUUAAGAAAAGGCAUGAAAAGUAAGGGGUAUGGAUGAUAUGGGAUGGGAUGGUGCGGUGGAUUCAUUCUGCACUGGAUGGGGAAGGGUUAUCUCCACAUUGUGGGCUGAGGAAGCCAUGCCCCCUCAUACCUACUGGGCAGUAGUAUAAAUGGGAGCAGCUCAACUCCGUCUGGGCUGACAGCCGAGGAAGAAGGAUGCUUGCUGCAGGCUCUAGCCCAGGAGGCGCCAGAGGCUCCGACAACAGAAACCAGGGAUGCUGACCCAGGCGGAGACUCAGAUGCCGGCGGAGGCCUGGGAGAAGCCAGGGUCACCAGGAGCCAUCCACACCUAAGAGACUGGAGACCCCGGAGCACAACUACAAGGGAUACGGUAGGAAGUAGCCGUGGGGGCGAGGCACCAGCCACAUGGCUAAGGACAGUCAGCCUGUUGCGGUCAGGAUCCCUGCCAUUGACUCAGGUGCAUAGACCCUCGCCACUGACAGGGCCCUGGGCUGGGACCUGGUGGAGUAGGGAGGGCCUGGGUCCCCCUACACCUGGCUGUCACCCACCCCUAGGUGGCAGCCUGUGUUCCUGACUCUGACCACCAGGCCUUACAGCCCUGAGAGCAAGGGCAACCCUGCUGACCCUGGCCACUAGGCCAGACUGUCCUGAACUCAAGGGCAGUAAAGAGGACUUACCCUCAAGCCUGCAACAACCCUCCUGUCCCAAAGUGGGGGGUGGGGUGCAUUUACCCUGAACUGGAUAGGGUACCCCCACCACAUCAGAGAUGGAGAAAGUUGCAUGCUGGGAACUGCACCCCAUAUUCUUCAUAGAGAUAUGAUGAUUAUAUGAUGAUAACAUAAUGAUAAUAUAUUUUAUGCAGGAUAGGUCAUGUGAGAUGUCAUUGGAACGGUUAUGAGUUACUGAAUAUGAUUAUCCUAUUUAUAUACAUGUAUCAUUUUUGUAUCUGAAGUUAGGAAUAUUGACUAUGUAUCUCUAUUACAAAGGUAUUUAUACAUGGAGAACGCCCACUAGACAAAAGGUUCCCAGUCUAGGUAGCUGGCUGGGAAGGGCCCAUUCAAGUUAAUGCACCAUUAGGGAGAACAAUAGGCUUUAAAAGAAGCUUCUUGCCCACCUGCGGCGGGGAGGGUGGGGGGGGGGUAAGAGGGGACUUCCUGAGGAUGCUACAAACAGUCUCUGACUCAUGGCUGCUAUGACCAGGGACAUGUGAUCAGGUCACCUGGCACUAGUCUCCAUCUUGGGAUACCAGUGUUUUUCCAUUUACUGACGUGGGAACCAAGCUUUGAAACAAAGGGUUCCCGCCAUAUGCAAAAGCUAUUUAAGGCAGGGGAGUAAUAUCAUCGUGGUUCUUCACUGACUCCCCACCCAAAGGGGAGACCUGGAAACACCUGAGGAACAAAGACUGAAUGGGGGGAAGUGCUGGACCCAGGCUAAAGGGAUUUUUAGCCUGUGACUGGAACACCUGCAGUUUCUAAGCUGUAAGCCUGUGCAGCUUGCCCCUUAAGAACUUGCAGGCUGCUGGUAUUAUCAUUUAGGGUGAGAAUUUGCUAUUCAUAUCCCAUCUGUGUAGUAUAUUAAGCUUAGUUUGCAUGUUUUUGUUUGUUUGCUAGCUAAUUUGCUUUGAUCUGUUUGCUAUCCAU